AACGAACGCUGGCGGCAUGCCUAACACAUGCAAGUCGAACGAGACCUUCGGGUCUAGUGGCGCACGGGUGCGUAACACGUGGGAAUCUGCCCUUUGCUUCGGAAUAACAGUUAGAAAUGACUGCUAAUACCGGAUGAUGUCGAAAGACCAAAGAUUUAUCGGCAAAGGAUGAGCCCGCGUAGGAUUAGGUAGUUGGUGGGGUAAAGGCCUACCAAGCCGACGAUCCUUAGCUGGUCUGAGAGGAUGAUCAGCCACACUGGGACUGAGACACGGCCCAGACUCCUACGGGAGGCAGCAGUGGGGAAUAUUGGACAAUGGGCGAAAGCCUGAUCCAGCAAUGCCGCGUGAGUGAUGAAGGCCUUAGGGUUGUAAAGCUCUUUUACUAGGGAUGAUAAUGACAGUACCUGGAGAAUAAGCUCCGGCUAACUCCGUG
rnacentral:rRNA from 1 species